CUUUUUUUUUUUUUUUUUUUCCUUUGUCCCUAUACGACCUGGUCGCAAGACUUUGGCUUUGUGCAGUGAAUAGGUGACUGUAAUUCUAGUGCCCCGGGUAUUUCCAUGCACAUUAUUUAACUAAUACUGCACUUGCUAUGCAUAUAUUUAUUAUAAUAUUUAAACAUAUUCAAGAUUGAAUUUCGCGACAAUAUCUUCCAUUAAAAACUGAAAUUUAAUAACGGACAUACUGUAUGAAAAAUAGGCAUGUUAUUUAAAUACACAGUUACUGGUGAUAUUGGGUUCUAUGGUGUGAUAGUUUGCAUAUGCUUGGCCCAGGGAGUGGAAUGUGAUGGUUUGCAUAUGCUUGGCCCAGGGAGUGGCACUAUUAGAAAGUGUGACCUCAUUGGAGGAGGUGUGUCACUGUGGGGUGGGCUUGGAGACCCUUCUCCUAGCUGCCAAGGGAUGCUCAGUCUGUUCCUGGCUUCCUUCGGGUGAAGACAUAGAACACAUCUCCUCCUGCAUCAGGCCUGCCUGGAUAUUGCGAUGCUGCCACCCUCCUGCCUUGAUGGUAAUGGACUAAACCUCUGAACCUGUAAGCCAGCCCCAAUUAAAUGUUGUCCUUUAUAAAACUUA